rnacentral:lncRNA from 1 species
CAGGCUUUAGCUGCUAAGGGGUCAGGGCCUUCUUCAAAGUAGGGUGGGUUAAGUUUCCUAAACUCUGGUAUGUUGUAGGAGAUAGAUCUCUCGGCUAGGUGAUAGUCAGGGGCAGGGGGUGUUGGCAUUAGUUUGUUUGGUUUUGGCCAACGACUACAGUUAGACCCUGGAUGGCUCUAAAGAGUUUAAUAAACGCAGCCCUGGUCAGAUG